rnacentral:rRNA from 1 species
GUGGGGAAUAUUGGACAAUGGGGGGAACCCUGAUCCAGCCAUGCCGCGUGUGUGAAGAAGGCCUUUUGGUUGUAAAGCACUUUAAGUGGGGAGGAGGCUCUCUUGGUUAAUACCUAAGAAGAGUGGACGUUACCCACAGAAUAAGCACCGGCUAACUCUGUGCCAGCAGCCGCGGUAAUACAGAUGGUGCGAGCGUUAAUCGGAUUUACUGGGCGUAAAGCGCGCGUAGGUGGUUAAUUAAGUCAAAUGUGAAAUCCCCGAGCUUAACUUGGGAAUUGCAUUCGAUACUGGUUGGCUAGAGUAUGGGAGAGGAUGGUAGAAUUCCAGGUGUAGCGGUGAAAUGCGUAGAGAUCUGGAGGAAUACCGAUGGCGAAGGCAGCCAUCUGGCCUAAUACUGACACUGAGGUGCGAAAGCAUGGGGAGCAAACAGGAUUAGAAACCCGGGUAGUCC